rnacentral:lncRNA from 1 species
AGUCAGGCCAAGUAUAGAAAGAAAACUAUUGAAGGGAGAUGCAGUCCCUUCCAUAUUUGACCUUCCAAACCAUUCAAUAAAGAAGAGUUCCAAAAGAAUAUUGAUUAAACCAGCAUUGAAUUCCUCAACUUCUACAUUCAUUAUUCAGUAUCACAAGUUAUUGACAUGGGAGAGUAUGACAAUUCAAAUGGAAACAGUGAGAUACAAUCAUCUACAGUAGUAGCAUUGAGAAAAAAGGUGAAGAAUCUGAUUUAUAUUGCAGGACAUGUGAUUAAUAAAGUAAUGAAAAAUGUGAAAAAUCUUAAUGUGAUAAGUGUUGUAAAAUCAUCAUUUGAAAGUGAUCCCUUAUGUAUCAAGCUGGUAUUGUGUAAAUAGGGGAGGUCUUGUGUUUGCAUCAGAUGGUAUAAUUGAAAUAGUAAAAUAUGUAUAAAAGUCAUUGAGACCCCUCACAAUUCAACGUGGAAUGAUGAUAAAUUCAAUUUCUAAAAAGAUAGCAAGAUUUGUAAUACAACAUUUUUCUCAGCCG